GUCCACGCUGUAAACGAUGAAUACUAGGUGUGCGGGGACUGACCCCCUGCGUGCCGCAGUUAACACAAUAAGUAUUCCACCUGGGGAGUACGAUCGCAAGGUUGAAACUCAAAGGAAUUGACGGGGGGCCCGCACAAGCGGUGGAUUAUGUGGUUUAAUUCGACGCAACGCGAAGAACCUUACCAGGGCUUGACAUCCUACUAACGAAGUAGAGAUACAUCAGGUGCCCUUCGGGGAAAGUAGAGACAGGUGGUGCAUGGUUGUCGU
rnacentral:rRNA from 1 species